rnacentral:rRNA from 1 species
UCCGUAGGCGGUGUGGCAAGUCGGUAGUGAAAUCUCUCGGCUUAACUGAGAGGCUGCUGCCGAAACUGCUGUGCUGGAGUGCGAGAGAGGCGAGUGGAAUUGCGGGUGUAGCGGUGAAAUGCGUAGAUAUCCGCAGGAACAUCCGAGGCGAAAGCGGCUCGCUGGAUCGCAACUGACGCUGAGGGACGAAAGCUAGGGGAGCAAACAGGAUUAGAUACCCUGGUAGUCCUAGCCCUAAACCAUCAGGACUUGGGGUUUGCCCUGUACGGGGCAAGUCCCGGAGCUAACGCGUUAAGUCCUGCGCCUGGGGAGUACGGUCGCAAGGCUGAA